GACGGUGGAGUGAUGUGGAUAAUUCGAUGCAACGCGAAAACUUACCUACCCUUGACAUGUCCGGAAUCCGAAGGGAGUUUGGGAGUGCUCGCAAGAGAGCCGGAACACAGGUGCUGCAUGGCUGUCGUCAGCUCGUGUCGUGAGAUGUUGGGUUAAGUCCCGCAACGAGCGCAACCCUUGUCAUUAGUUGCCAUCAUUUGGUUGGGCACUCUAAUGAGACUGCCGGUGACAAACCGGAGGAAGGUGGGGAUGACGUCAAGUCCUCAUGGCCCUUAUGGGUAGGGCUUCACACGUCAUACAAUGGUCGGUACAGAGGGUUGCCAACCCGCGAGGGGGAGCUAAUCCCACAAAGCCGAUCGUAGUCCGGAUCGCAGUCUGCAACUCGACUGCGUGAAGUCGGAAUCGCUAGUAAUCGUGGAUCAGCAUGUCACGGUGAAUACGUUCCCGGGUCUU
rnacentral:rRNA from 1 species